rnacentral:rRNA from 1 species
AUUGAACGCUGGCGGCGUGCCUUACACAUGCAAGUCGAACGGUAACGGGCCUUCGGGUGCCGACGAGUGGCGAACGGGUGAGUAAUGUAUCGGAACGUACCUUUCAGUGGGGGAUAACGUAGCGAAAGUUACGCUAAUACCGCAUAUUCUGUGUGCAGGAAAGCAGGGGAUCGCAAGACCUUGCGCUGAUUGAGCGGCCGAUAUCAGAUUAGCUAGUUGGUGAGGUAAAGGCUCACCAAGGCGACGAUCUGUAGCGGGUCUGAGAGGAUGAUCCGCCACACUGGAACUGAGACACGGUCCAGACUCCUACGGGAGGCAGCAGUGGGGAAUUUUGGACAAUGGGGGCAACCCUGAUCCAGCCAUGCCGCGUGAGUGAAGAAGGCCUUCGGGUUGUAAAGCUCUUUCGGCCGGGAAGAAAUCGUAUCAGCUAAUACCUGGUGCGGAUGACGGUACCGGCAUAAGAAGCACCGGCUAACUACGUGCCAGCCGCCGCCGUAAAAC